UUUAAAGUCUGACCUGCCCAAUGAGGAGUUGAAUGGCCGCGGUAAUUUGACCGUGCAAAGGUAGCAUAAUCAUUAGUUUUUUAAUUGAAAGCUGGAAUGAACGGUUGGACGAGAAAAUAACUGUCUCAAUUUAAUUGAAUGUAGAAUUUUAUUUAUAAGUAAAAAAGCUUAUAUAAAUUUAAAAGACGAGAAGACCCUAUAGAGUUUUAUAGUUUUUUGUAGUAAAGAAUUUUAGUAUGUUUAUAUUUUUGAUACAGAAACCUAUUUUGCUGGGGCAGCAGAAAAAUUAACUAAACUUUUUUUAUAUAUUUUACAUUGAUUUAUGAUUUAAUGAUCCAUUUUUUAUGAUUACAAGAUUAAAUUACCUUAGGGAUAACAGCGUAAUUUUUUUUUAGAGUUCUUAUCGAAAAAAGAGUUUGCGACCUCGAUGUUGGAUUAAAAUUAACUUUUGGUGUAGGGGCUAAAAGGUUAGGUCUGUUCGACCUUUAAAAUUUUACAUGAUCUGAGUUUAAACCGGCGUGAGCCAGGUUGGUUUCUAUCUUUAAAAAAAUUAAAUAUCUUAGUACGAAAGGAUCAGGUAUUUUUAAAAUUUAGUAUAUUUUGAAUAGGAAUAAAAA
rnacentral:rRNA from 1 species